UUUUUUUUUUUUUUUCUUAAAUGAAAAGUAUAAGGGAUUUUAACCUCAUAAAGAAUAAGGAAAAUCAAUUAUGGUGAAGAAACAUUUCAUUUCUUACCGUUUAAAUAUUUCCUUCCUAAAUUGAUGGUUGAUGUAAUGUAGGCUGUAAAAAGAGAGGAGGCAGUUCCUGAAAUACCUUGGGCUCUAAAACCCAUUUUGUGAAAUAGCAAUGUAAUUUGAAUAUUUUAGGAACUGACCUCAAUGCUUAGAGCUUCCUUUGUAUGUUCUUAAACGAUGCCUUAACAUCGCAUUUACUUAUAUGUUAACAUGAAAGUUAUAAGUUGUCUUAUUGUAACGUUGACUUGUCCCUUCAGAGAAUCAGCCUUCCAUUAUGCUCAAGUAUUCAUCAACCUUCAGGGCUGGGAUGGUAUAAAAUAAUGGCAUGAGAUAUACCUAAUGCUAGAUGACGAGUUAGUGGGUGCAGCGCACCAGCAUGGCACAUGUAUACAUAUGUAACUAACCUGCACAAUGUGCACAUGUACCCUAAAACUUAAAGUAUAAUUAAAAAAAAAAAAGAAAAAGAAAAUCUAAAAAAAAAAAAAUAAUAAUAAUAAUGGCAUGACCGGGCCAGGCAUAUAAGGAUUUCCCUCCUCUCCUCAUUUUUAUUUUUAUUAUUUUGGGUACACAGUAGGUAUAUAUAUAUAUGAGGUACAUGAGAUGUUUUGAUACAGACAUGCAAUAUGAAAUAAUCACAUCAUAGAUUUCUCUUCUCUGGAAGAACUUACAACCUGUUGAGGUUUGCUAGCAAACCAAACUCUAACAAAGAACACUGUUUAUUUUUUCUUUUCUUUUCUUGAGAUAGAUAUUUUUUAUUUUAAGUUCUGGGAUACAUGUGCAGAACGUGCAGGUUUGCUAUUUGCUGCACCUAUCAACCCAUCAUCUAGGUUUUAAGCCCUGUUUUGAUUUGAAUAUUAUUCAAUACAAAUGAAGAUUGAAAUGUGGACAUUUAUGCUAAGAACAGCUUCUGGAAUUAUAGAUUUGCCUUGUAUUCUUACCAAUUGUAAGACGGAUAAACAAGCAGAAAUUCAAAAUGACAUAAUUAUAUUUCUUUGCAUCUGGAUUUUAUUCUGUUCCUGGUUCAAGUUUCAAGAUUGUCAAGAAUGACGAGUUGGACUUGGUCUAGUUACUUCCACAGCAGCAGGAGGAACAUGUGUGUGACUCAGGAUAACUGGGGAAGCCUUGGCUAGGCUUUCCUCAUGUCAACCUACCACUCAAAGGGAGAAAACCUCCUGAUCAGAGGUGCCCAGAACCCAGGAAAUCCAUAAUUUUUGAAUGCUGGCCGAGGUCUGUGACCUCUGACUGAAUGGUUUCCAAGCUCCGAAUUCCUAGGUGAUGUUUUCAUUUGUUCACACUUGCUGAAGAAGGGAAAGGCUCUCUGAUUUACGUGUAAGCAAAACAAUCUAAACAGUAGGAUAAAAUCAUGUUGGAAUGGAGUUCUGUGUGGAUGCUCCUUUGAACCAAAUCAGUUCCACAACUGACCCUGUCAGGGACAUAUAAAUUUAGCAUUUUGGUGUGGAUACAGAAGACGAGAUUAACACAGAUCAAGUAACAUGGAAAUAAAAAAGGAGACAAUGCUGGAUGAUACAGGGGCAGCCAACAAGAGGAGAAAACCCAAGCAUUGGCAAAUGCCUCAUUAUCCAAAGAACACUGAGGUGUGGAGCAAAACUGUGUUGAAUGAACUGUAGAUGGAAAUUCUCUCCUUCCCACCGAGGAGCCGCUGCAGGUUGCAGACUCCCAGAAUGCCACACUGAGAAGAGGAGGGCUAAAAUUCUAGAGCAGAAUCCCUGGGGCAGCCCCUGCUGAAGAAGGGUGCAUCUGUUGAGAAUCUCAUCACCGCCCCCACCCCGCCCAGCCUUCAAUUUAGAGGAAUUUCUAGUUCACGCAGAAUGAAGACAAGAUCACAUAAGUGAGGACGACGCCCCAUUUACAAGUGUGAUUUGGAAGACUGAAGUGGAAACCUUGGGAAGGGGCCUCAGAGUAUGUCAGCUGGGGUCAGACGGGAACAGGAGUCUGGCUCAACACACAUUUAUUGCACUCCUGUUUCAUGCCAAGAAAUGUACCAAAAUCUGGGACUGUGUAACACAGCAAAGGAAAAGACUCAUCUCCAGGAAGCCCCCUUGUCUAGGAAGAGAAAUUGAAUAUCAGCAUAAGGUGGUGAAAAGCUGUGAAGGAGAUGAGUGCCAGGAGUCCAUGGAGGAAGGAUUCUAGCCUGGACAGGUGAGGAAUGGCUUUCUGGAAGAAGCAGAUGCCCCAGCUGAACUUUAAAAUGCCCAUGUGAAAUGAACUGUCUGUAUCUUCAAUCAGCAAAUGGAGUAGGUGGCCACUGUUUAAUUCUGGAAUGGGGAAGUGUAAAGGUGUGGUGUGUGUGUUUACCCCUACUUAGGGAUUCAAAACAGACAGUAAAGAACAAAAGUCUAGCCCUUUGAGCAUUCUCCAUGGGACAUUUGAGGUCUAGCUGGCCCCAGAGAAAGAGAGACAGAAGCAAGGUCAUAUCCAUUUGAGAAAAUCAAAGUGUCUGCUCCAAUUGAGUCUGGUGUCCUUAUUCCUGGAAUAGCCAUCCCUACUGCUCUGGUGCUGAUUUACCUCCGGCAGUUCAGUGCUUCCUGGAAGGUGAUUGUGGUGAAUAGUCAUGAGAAUCUGGGAACUGGCUCCUGCUCUGUCUAUCUUGGAGAUGCAUCUUUUGUGAGAAGCCAGGGCAAGAAUAGGGAGGCUUAGGCAAUGGGAAGUUUCUGAGUAGAUAAAGCAGAUGGCAGAGCAAAGGGACAGAGCCUGGCGAGAGGCUACUCCCUGUAGCAACCUGCCUAAGAGUGAGAGGAAAGCAAGGCAUGGCUAUGAGCACGUGUAGUCUCAGCUACUUGGG
rnacentral:lncRNA from 1 species